GCGAUCAUACCAGUACUAAUGCACCGGAUCCCAUCAGAACUCCGAAGUUAAGCUUGCUUGGGCGAGAGCAGUACUAGGAUGGGUGACCCCCUAGGAAGUCCUCGUGUUGCACCU
rnacentral:rRNA from 1 species